rfam:Triticum aestivum genome assembly, contig: Triticum_aestivum_CS42_TGACv1_scaffold_320462_4BL
GAGGAUAUGAUGAUCCUUUCCCUAGAUGAUUGGCAAUGAACAUGUUGAGCACUAUUUCUCUUCAGAGAAACCAAGCCAGUAUUCUGAUCCUC